AUUAAAUACUACAAAACUAUGGAAGUUAAUUAUACAUAAUAAUUCUUAGUAAAAUAUGGAUUAUAAUUUUGUGAAAAUACAGCUGUUUCAAACUAAUUAAUUGCCUUUUCAUAAAAAACACUCCUGAAGAAGUCGACAUACGACGAAACGCGUUGAGUGUAAAAAUCUUUUAUUGUUUGGAAAAGUUGUUAUUCAAUUUUUUGGCUGUAAUGAACAAUAACACAUUGUAA